rnacentral:rRNA from 1 species
AGCGAACGCUGGCGGCAGGCCUAACACAUGCAAGUCGAACGAACCUUUCGGGGUUAGUGGCGGACGGGUGAGUAACACGUGGGAACGUGCCUUUAGGUUCGGAAUAACUCAGGGAAACUUGUGCUAAUACCGAAUGUGCCCUUCGGGGGAAAGAUUAAUCGCCUUUAGAGCGGCCCGCGUCUGAUUAGCUAGUUGGUUGAGGUAAUGGCUCACCAAGGCGACGAUCAGUAGCUGGUCUGAGAGGAUGAUCAGCCACAUUGGGACUGCGACACGGCCCAAAGUACGGCGGGAGGAAGCGGGGGGGAAUCUAGCGCACGGGGAGAAAGCCUGGCGCAGCGAUGACGCGUAAAUAGUGAAGGUUUUAGGAUCUGACAAUUCUUUGACAGGGUAAUAAAACCACGGCACAGAGAGAGGGAGCCCCGGCUUACUGCGUGCCCGAGGCCGAGGCAAUGGAGCGGAAGCACACCCCGCUGAAC